rnacentral:rRNA from 1 species
UUGACCUCAAAUCAGGUAGGACUACCCGCUGAACUUAAGCAUAUCAAUAAGCGGAGGAAAAGAAACUAACAAGGAUUCCCCUAGUAACUGCGAGUGAAGCGGGAAAAGCUCAAAUUUUGAAUCUGGCGGUCUUUGCAGACCGUCCGA